UAGAUGUUGUGAAUGAGCCCUGACAGGAAGGGGUAAUCUCAGGGAGGGGUCUAGAUAUGCAGCAGGCCAGGCAAUGGCCGACCACACAGGCAGCAGGAUAAGAUAACAGGCUUCUGGAGCACACCGAUAGCCAGGCUGGUGAGUGCCUUCUGCCUGCACUAUUGGGGCAGAGCUGGUAACCCAGGAGAACCCGCGCUUCACCCCCGGGGCGCCUGUCUGCCGUGAAUGCUCGCACGCUCGCAGGAUGUGGGGGAAGGGCCAGUGAGCUCCAGUCUGUUGAUGCCAUGAGAAGAAAUGAAUGGCACGUUUCUUCACUGACCUCUAUACCAGCAGAACAGCAGUGACAAAGGCACCCUGAUGCUCUAGUAUUGCAUCAAGAAAGACCAAGUACAGAAAUAAAAGUAAAGAAGAAAAUACUUCAUCUAAAUCAAGUACGGGGACGCGAACAGAAGCACACA